rnacentral:rRNA from 1 species
CCUACGGGGCGCUGCAGUGGGGAAUAUUGGACAAUGGGCGAAAGCCUGAUCCAGCCAUGCCGCGUGUGUGAAGAAGGCCUUCGGGUUGUAAGCACUUUCAGUGGGGAAGAAAGCCUUGGGGCUAAUACCCUCGAGGAAGGACAUCACCCACAGAAGAAGCACCGGCUAACUCCGUGCCAGCAGCCGCGGUAAUACGGAGGGUGCGAGCGUUAAUCGGAAUUACUGGGCGUAAAGCGCGCGUAGGCGGUCUGAUAAGCCGGUUGUGAAAGCCCCGGGCUCAACCUGGGAACGGCAUCCGGAACUGUCAGGCUAGAGUGCAGGAGAGGAAGGUAGAAUUCCCGGUGUAGCGGUGAAAUGCGUAGAGAUCGGGAGGAAUACCAGUGGCGAAGGCGGCCUUCUGGACUGACACUGACGCUGAGGUGCGAAAGCGUGGGUAGCAAACAGGAUUAGAUACCCUUGUAGUC